rnacentral:RNase_P_RNA from 1 species
CGUGCGGAUCGGGUUGUCGCUCCGCCGGGGGCGAGGUGCGCGACGCCCCUCGCGAUCGGCGGUGAGGAAAGUCCGAAUACCACAGGGUCCGUGCUUCCUAACGGGAAGGCUGCGUCGCGUCCGACAGGGCAGAACCGGGUUCUGCACAGAACCGGGUUCUGCACUGGCGUGGUGUAGACGACACGUGCAACAGAGAACAGUCCCGCACCGAUGCCGGAACGCCGUUUCGGCUCCGUCGGUGUAAGGGGUGCAAAGGUGCGGUAAGAGCGCACCGGCGGCCUCGGUGACGAGGUCGGCCAGGCAAACCCCACGGGGUGCAAGGCCAAGUAGCGCCGUGUGCCGCCCCUGGCGGCGCGGAGGUGACCCGCCAACGUUCCCACGGCCGCACCGUUGUGCCGGCCUGUUCGGGGCGCGGCGCAGGUGGGCCGCUUGAGGCGGUCGGCGACGACCGUCCCAGAUAGAUGACAACCUCCCCGGCUCGGCUCCGCGGACUCGAGCCGGGCAGACCAAAUUCGGCUUACAGACCCGUACGUCCC